GCGGCCUUCGCCGCCGCCAACGGGGCUGUCCCUGUAGCUCCCGAUGGAGUUUGAGGUCGUGAAACCUCCGCCGAGCUCUGCCCCGGCGAGACGAGGCGCCUCCGUCGCCAAGCCGCGCCGUCGCGGGGCUCCCGGGAGCGGCCCUUAGCGACCCCGCCCGGGCCCCCUCAGGUGUAGCUAGCUUGAACCAGAGUGCACUGAGCCGUCCAAUGCAAAGGAAACUGGUGACACUUGUAAACUGUCAACUGGUGGAGGAAGAAGGUCGUGUAAGAGCCAUGCGAGCAGCUCGUUCCCUUGGAGAAAGAACUGUAACAGAACUGAUAUUACAGCACCAGAACCCUCAGCAGUUGUCUGCCAAUCUAUGGGCCGCUGUCAGGGCUCGAGGAUGCCAGUUUUUAGGGCCAGGUAAGAUAGGUUACUAUCUUACCUUUUUUAUUAGCUAUUGGGGCUUGAGGAUGCCAAUUUCUGGAGCUCGGUGAAUCCUGAGACUCAACCCGUCUUUAUAUGUACAAAUCUUGAUAUAAUUAAAGAUAAAUUUGUUUUUGUU
rnacentral:lncRNA from 10 species